rnacentral:snoRNA from 1 species
UAAAAUGAUGGUCGUAAUUUGCGUUUGAAUAACUCUUGGGGAGACACACGCCAGUGUCUCUUAACUCAAUAGUCUACUAUGUGAUCAACUUCUAACUGAUUUUUAUU